rnacentral:misc_RNA from 1 species
AAUUAUUUUCUGUCAUGUUAAUUGACCAUUUUUCUGACGUAAAUUUUUAUAUUAAAAAAUACUAUUUCAAUUUUUUCUAAACAUCAUAAUAUAAAGAAUAAAAAAGGAGGAUGUAUGAAAUUUAAAAGUAUGGAGACACUAGAAACUUAUCACUGGAGUAUGAGUACUGAGCACUUUAAAUAAAUUAUAAACUUGAAUCGAUUUAAACUGCAUGAAUUUUAAUGCCUCAUCAAAAAUGACACCAGUACUUCUUCUUUAUUUUUUUCAUCAUACUGAGGAUUUGUGGAAAAUGUAUACAUAAUUUAUAUAUCUCAAAGAGGGAGCACUUUAAAACUAUAUUCUAAAGUUCAUAAAAAAUUUAUAGUUCUAGUUAUUGAUUAACGUAUCUUCUUUUGAUAUUUAUGUAAAUUAUUAUUUUUUUAUUUACAAUCGCGAAAUAUAAACUAAAUUUCAUAAGCAGAUGUGAAAAAAAAUUUUAACAAAACAGUAUCAUGGCUCGAAAUCAGGGAGAAGCUAUAUUGUCAAAUAGAAGUGAAAAUUGUCAUAAACAUAGAGCUGUUAAAUACACAUACUUCUUUUUAAAUUUAUUAGGAAUCGGACCGUUAACAACUGAAUCAUUAAAAAUCACAAAAAUAGUGUCUUUUAUAUGGUCAGCUACUAUUGUAACUAUUGGUGUAUGGGAAAUUUCCUUUAGAUUUAUCUAUGUGUACUUUGACGUAACCGAUGUAGAUGACCAAAUGGAUUUACUCGCUCCAGUAGUGUUUGUUACUGUAACAACACUAAAAUAUUUGUCCAUAGCAUAUCGUCAUGACACCAUAAAAAAGUUCACUAAACAUAUAUUUGAUGAUUGGAAUAUGAUUGGAAGUCAGGAAGAAGAAGAUAUUAUGGAAAAAAACUUGAAUAUGAGUAACAACAUAACUUUCGUAUUUGCAGUAAUGAUGUAUAUAAGUUGUGUGUUAUAUAAUUGCUUUAUGCCUCAUGUGAUACCUAUUCUAUUUAACAGUGAUGAUCGAAAUGCUUCUGAACGAAUAGUUAUUUUUCCUGGUUACAAUAGUGUAUUUGACGUCGAUUCAUUUCCGAUCUAUCAAAUUACUUAUGUUUUCCAUCAAUUAACUGCGUUAUCUACCUAUACAAUUCUUAUCACCUCUUGUAACUUAAUAAUAGUUUUGGUUACUCAUGCUUGCAGCCAGCUUCAAAUAAUUACAAAUCAAAUCGAUUCAUUGCUAAAUAAUUUUUCCAAAGAAGAAAAGUUCUCUUACGCAAAAUUGUCAUUUACAAUCAGUCGUCAUGUCAGGGUGCUUGAAUUUUCGAAUAAACUUUUGAAAAAAAUGAUAUUUGAAUUAUGUCUAAUCGAAGUUGGUGCUUCUUCUAUUCUUCUUUGUAUAGAUGAAUUUUGCGUUUUAAGGAUGCUAGAAAAAAAAGAAUUCGCAAAUAUGACAUCUUAUAUCAUGAUAUUUUUUUCUUUAAGUUUAAACGUACUUAUAGUAUGCUAUUUUAGCGAACUUCUCGAGGCUCAGGAGAAAAACUUAAUUCGGUUGAGUGGUAUAAAACUCCAGUAAAUACAAGACAGUAUUUUAAUUUGAUUAUAAUUAUGUCCCAACAACCUCAAAAAAUUAGCGCAGGUGGAAUCGUUGAUCUGUCUUUUGUGACUUAUCUUCAAAUAUUGAAAACUGGAUUUGCUUACCUACAACUUUUAAGAGCAGCAAAUCUCUAAAAUGCUUCUCAAAAAUGACAUGAAUGAUUUAAAAUGCAGUUUUAUUGUGAAAA